GCGUUGGUAGUUUAAUGGUAAAAUCCAGUGGUAAGAACUUUCAUUGCAACUGGGCUCCGGGUUCGAUUCCCGGCCAACGUA